rnacentral:rRNA from 1 species
UACGUAGGGGGCAAGCGUUAUCCGGAUUUACUGGGUGUAAAGGGGGCGCAGACGGCGAUGCAAGCCAGGAGUGAAAGCCCGGGGCCCAACCCCGGGACUGCUCUUGGAACUGCGUGGCUGGAGUGCAGGAGGGGCAGGCGGAAUUCCUGGUGUAGCGGUGAAAUGCGUAGAUAUCAGGAGGAACACCGGUGGCGAAGGCGACCUGCUGGACUGCAACUGACGUUGAGGCCCGAAAGCGUGGGGAGCAAACAGG